UUUUUAAAAAAUAGAGAGAGUGAAGAGUGUAUUGUUUUAUUUAUGUAUGUGAGUGCAUCUCUGGGUGAGUGAGUACCACAUGGGUACAGGAGUCUGUAGAAGCCAGAAGAGACCCGGAUCUCUUGGAGCUAGAGUUACAGGGAGUCGUGAUCUACCUAACUGGGUGCUGGGAACCUACCAUGGGUCCUCAGGAAGAGCAUCAAGUGUCCUUGCCAGCUGAGCCGUCCAUUUGUGGUAUUCCUCUACAAUGCCAUCUAGCCAUCUGUCUAUCUCAUUCUCCCAUUCUCCAGUAUAGACCCCUGGGUGACACCGGGCAUCACCUACAGUUAAAGAUGGUGUCUGCAGCUGCCAAAGCCUCUGACCGUGCUUUGAGAAGCGUGCUCUCCACACAAAGGUGCCCCUUUGCCCAGCGAUCCCCUCACAGUGUUCCCUCCAUUUAAGACAGACACUGCCUCCACAGUCUGUUCUAGUGUUUUCCUUGCUUCCCUGUGCUGAAUUACAGCCCCAGUCAACGGCCCACUUGUGUGUAAUUCAAGAAGCAAUUAUGGGCUUUUUGCUUUGAACAAGCAAGGGAGGGGGGUAGAAUGAAAGAUGAUCAUUACCCUACUAUUCCUCUGCUUUAGCCAAACAGUUCACAGAGCCUUGAUGCCAAAAGUCACGGGCCUUGAAACAGUGGAGGGUUGGGGGUGGGGGGGAGGGGCACUGCCUUCCACAACCACGCCUGCCUACUAGAAGGCAGGGACUCAUCCACCAUCAGGUUGAGGGACACAAGCUGACUUUAGAAUUGUGUUUAAAUACGAUUGUAAUGUCUGCACCAUGAUCCACAGCCUGGUGAUGCUAUCGCUGCAAAUUAAAAUGUGCAAACUUCAGAGUCCUCCGAAGGAAGCUCACAGUCUCGGCUGUAAGCCUUUUGUUUUAUUCUGUGGGAUUUACUCUAAUCGGAAAAUGGCAGCCUUAUCUCUCUGAGCGAGGCCACAUGAAUGGUGUCUAUCUUUAGUUUCUCUAUUCCUAGAGGGCAGGGGCUUUUAUCUCUCGGAUCCCACCGGGUCUCUAACAGCGCUGGCGAUCGAAGCUGCUUAAAUAUUUUUGUUGCGAUGAUCAAGGGAUGGCCUUCUUACUUACUGUUUGCUCCGUAAGUACAUCUGCCACAUGUGGAGUAAUAGAUGACACUCUGGGAAGAGAAAGUCACCAAAUGUCAGCGCUUCACCAAUGUGUUCAAAUGCCCACUCUUCCUCCCCACUCCCCCUUCAGCAGCAGCAGCAGCAGCAGCAGCAGCAGCAACUGAGAAUGUGUUUAAAAUGUACAUUACAGAUCUGGUGAGGUAGCUGAGUGGAUAAAUGCUUGCCACCCAAACUUGAUGGCCUGUGGUCAAUCCCCAGAGCCCAUCUGAAGUGCCUGGCAUGGUGAUGCUUACAUUUAACUUCAGGACAGGGUAGGUUAGAGAUACAUCCCUGGGCUCACUGGUCAACAGGACUAGCUUGUUUGAGGAAUUCCAGGUUCAAUGAGAGAACCUAUCUCAAACAAGGUAGAUGGCACCUGAAGAAUGAUACCAGAGCUUGACCUCAGGUCUUCACACAGGGUUCAUCUAUGUGUACACACACCCAAACACACAACACAAACACACACACACACACACACACACACACACACACACCUGUGCAAAUAAGCAAAUAAAUAAGUACACUCUUUGGCCUGCCCUCAAAUGCUGUGGUGUCCAGACCAUCCAAGUGUUGCUAGCUAUGCUCAGGAGUCAGAAUAACUUAAGUCCAAGUCCAUACUGGAUUUAGCAGCUGCAGAAAGCAUGUAAUUCAUCAAGGCCACAUGGGGCAGGUGUGCAAUGGGGUGGUUCUGACCUUGACCUGAAUGUCUCCUUGCUUCUCUGCUUAGAAUGCAUGCCCCGGCAGGCAAGGACACUAAUUCUUGUUCAACAUCUGAGCAGCUGUGAGGUGAUGAGGUUAGACCAGGAAGACUCGGGUCAAUGUGUAGCACUGCUCCAGUAGCUUGGAGACUUUGGGAAAACCCAUUAACCUCAUUACACUCAACUGGACCUGCGUUUUCCCAUUUCACGAAUGGAGAUAAUUUUAUCUGUCCUGUCUGAUUCAUAGGACGUUCUGCUCUAUUGAGAUAGGGGUGCUUUUUGGAACUUGGUCCAAAGUUAAGACCUCCCUUUGCCUCCGGAAUGACUGAAGGUGUUCUGCCAUUAAGGAUGAGAGCUCAGUGUGCAAGCAAAGGACUUCAUUUAUUUAUGACACAUUUGCAUGCCUGUACAUGACAACACAUGCAUGUUAACACUCUCUGGGGCUUCUCUAGUAAGGAGCAACAGGACUUCGGUGGAGUCUGAUCAACCUAAAUAAGACUUCCCUCCUCCAACCUGAGACUCCAUGUUCAGUUACUCAAGCAGCCUUUCCUUGAACUACUGGAACCCCGAGUUUGGUAAUACUUGGUGAUGUCCAAAGUGUGAGGGCCAUGUAGAAGCAAGAACCUGAAGGCUGUCUGCCAAGUACUGAUGCCAGUAGGCAUGGAUGUUGCCUUGUCUCUGGGCAGGGGUGGGACUUAGUAGUAGCAGAUGUGGGAAGCUGGUUGGCUGAGUGUCUGCUCUGGCUGGGCCAAGGCUAUUGGAAAAGGGGAGGACAGAAGAGAAGGAGUCCUGACAAGUCUCACACACAGCAAGGCUGAAUGCAAAUGAGACUUCAUACAGACAAGUGCCUACAUCCAAAGGAGCUCAGGGUCAAUGGAUGAAUUACCAAAGGUGUCUGGUGUUUUGACUCACUUUUAAGUCCUCUGGAGGCCAUUGAACAGCUGAGUUGGCUGAGUUUAAACUGCCCCCAAAGGGGCCAUGUGUGGUGCUGCAUACCAGUGGUCUUGCGAGACCAACUGUGGAAGAAUACAAGUUCAAGGCCAUCCUGGGCUACACAGCAAGAUCCUAUUGCAAAAGAAACAAACUCCACCAUCUAAGUGAUGUAUGUGCCCUGCUGGGAUCUAACAGCACAUUAGAAACCCUGAUCUCAUCACCAGGUGGACCCUAAGCAGUGCUGUCUCACCCCAGUGUGCAAAACAAUAGCUACCGAAGGCUGCCUGUCUUUCUCUCUCUCUCUUUACAGAAUUUCAGUGACAUUACUAUCUGCCCAAGGGACACACCGCACUAAUGAGGGAGUUCACUUGAGAAGCCAAUGUGUACGUCAUGUUGAAUGCCUUCGAGUCAGAUACCCCAAGAGCCUGAAUGAGAGCCUCAGUUCUGGUGUCUCCUUAAGUGCAUGAAUCCAUUUUCCUUUCUCUUCUGAGCCUAAAGCCUUGGACCCACCCCCUUGGGUUGAAAUAGGUCACAGAAUCACAGCAUAAGCAACCAUGCUUUUUCCAGGCAGUUCAUGCCAUUUGAUAAUUGGUGCCACUGAGCAGUGAUAGAUGGUGCUGUGGGGAAAUGGGACUUACACCCUUCAAUGUCACCAUCACCAGAGAAAGCCAUGCUUUCACGAUCCCUCUCCUCCAUGAUUCCAUACCUCAUUGAACACUUUGGUUGGCAAUAGAAAUGGAAUGGGGAGGACAUUUGGUUUCACCAGGGGCACAUCUGCAAUCUGCCUUCCCACCGUGACUCACAACCAAACCACCGCUUUUGGUUUGUGAGGCUCAAGAAACCACUUGAGCAGUUCGUAGCACCCGAACAAGAGAGACACCUUGGCCACUUUUAUGUCAGAACAGCCAUGCCCUUCCUGUUCUUUACAAAGUCCUCUUGAGAGUGUGUGUGUUUGGUGGUGGACAGAAGCACCAUAGGGGAGGAGUUCCAUCCAAAAUCCUCUAUUGCUACCAAAUUGUGUUGGGUCUGUUGAGACCUCAGUCCCUGGAAUUCCCUUCUUCUAAAAUGCUGCUGGAUUGGAGAAACUAAACACUUAGCAUAAGAUUAAGAUUACACACUGUUCUAGGUUUGGACCCAGUCCUCAAACAUUACCACAACCGAUGAAGUAGACCUCAUACUGUGUCCCUGGUUCCCCACAGGGUCAUAGGUAACUCUAUGGGUGAGUCUCAACUCCCAAUAUUUUUUUCUGUGAAUAAGUUAGACUUUAC
rnacentral:lncRNA from 1 species